ACCCUCCCCCCACCUCCCCUUCUUGGCCUUCGCCAGUGUGGGAGCCUCGUCUCACUGGAGAGUCCGUUCAGGCAAGGAGAAGAACCGGGAGCCCGGAGCGGAGCGUGUUUCAGAGGUGCGUAUAAAAUCCCAGGGGCGUCAGGAGGCAGCAGCGACGGCGCAGCGUGGGACAGCCAGGCGCGACGGGAGGGAAGCAACCGGUUGCAGUCCGGCCUCCUGUACCUGGCUGGCCCGGGUUGGGGCUGCAAGCUUUCCAGUCAAACUUAACGUGAAGUAAAGUAGUUGCAGUUUGACAAAGAAUGGCGUUUCAAUAAAUGACAUAGUAAUUUU
rnacentral:antisense_RNA from 1 species